UAUUGCUGAACUGAAACAGUUCUGUAAAGAGGAAUGGUCAAGAAUUACUCCUGACCGUUGUGCACGUCUGAUCUGCAACUGCAGGAAAUGUUUGGUUGAAGUUAUUGCUGCCAAAGGAGGUUCAACCAGUUAUUAAAUCCAAAGGUUCACAUACUUUUUCCACCUGCACUGUGAAUGUUUACAUGGUGUGUUCAAUAAAAACAUGGCAACAUUUCAUUCUUUGUGUGUUAUUAGUUUAAGCAGACUGUGAUUGUCUAUUGUUGUGACUUAGAUGAUGAUCAGAUCACAUUUUAUGAC